GAUGAAGAACGUAGCGAAAUGCGAUAAGUAAUGUGAAUUGCAGAAUUCCGUGAAUCAUCGAAUCUUUGAACGCAUAUUGCGCCCCUUGGUAUUCCAUGGGGCAUGCCUGUUCGAGCGUCAUUUGUACCUUCAAGCUUUGCUUGGUGUUGGGUGUUUGUCUCGCCUUUGCGUGUAGACUCGCCUUAAAAUAAUUGGCAGCCGGCGUAUUGAUUUCGGAGCGCAGUACAUCUCGCGCUUUGCACUCAUAACGACAGCGUCCAAAAGUACAUUUUACACUCUUGACCUCGGAUCAGGUAGGGAUACCCGCUGAACUUAAGCAUAUCAAUAAGCGGAGGA
rnacentral:misc_RNA from 1 species